GCUCAAACAAGCAAUGUUAGGGCAUUACAGCUCAUCGACUGAUGGCUGGGAUUUGGCUACAAUUAUAAAGUUGCUAGAAGCCCUUCAAUUGAGAACAUCAACCUAGAUCUCAAGGAAUCAAGUGGAGAAAACUAAAAUAGGGAGAUUAAAAGUAGAGCAUCCCAUAUCAAUUGAAUCCGAUGACAUGCCGGCAACAAUCUAAUCAUCGAUGAUGGCUAAGGAAC
rnacentral:lncRNA from 1 species